rnacentral:lncRNA from 1 species
CCGUUACUAAUAUUUUCUUUUUUCAUGAUGGUAAUUUUGUUAGUCGCUAUUUAUCAUCGGUAAUAAUUAUUAUUAGCGACGAUAAUUUUGCUGUCACUGAUAGUCAUCGAUAAAAAAAUAUUUUUUUAUAGUACAGGAGGUUUCGAGAGUGCGGCCGGUGAAUUGCUUUCUAAACAAUACCAUAGAAAUAGGCCAGAUCAUGGGUCAAGCUUGGGCUCAAAGAAUGUUAUAGAUCUGGUCCAAAAUUUGAUUAAAAAUAAAUAGAAUUUAGAUCUGAGACCCAGCCUGUCACACCCCCGACCCGAGAUUGUGAAUCGAGGGUCAUGGCAACC